CACGGAGUUAGCCGAUCCUUAUUCCUUCGGUACAUUCAGCUAUCUACACGUAGAUAGGUUUAUUCCCGAAUAAAAGCAGUUUACGACCCAGAGGGCUGUCUUCCUGCACGCGGCAUGGCUGGUUCAGAGUUCCCUCCAUUGACCAAUAUUCCUUACUGCUGCCUCCCGUAGGAGUCUGGUCCGUGUCUCAGUACCAGUGUGGGGGGUCAUCCUCUCAGAUCCCCUAGUCAUCGUCGCCUUGGUGGGCCGUUACCCCGCCAACUAGCUAAUGACACGCAUGCCCAUCUUAAUCCUAUAAAUAUUUGAACAUUGGAUAAUGCUAUCCUGUGUUUUUAUGCGGUGUUAAUCCGAAUUUCUUCGGGCUAUCCCCCUGAUUAAGGUAGGUUGCAUACGCGUUACGCACCCGUGCGCCACUUUCAUGAAGAGCAAGCUCCUCAAUAUCGUUCGACUUGCAUGUAUUAGGCCUGCCGCUAGCGUUCAUCCUGAGCCAGGAUA
rnacentral:rRNA from 1 species